rnacentral:rRNA from 1 species
GAUGAACGCUGGCGGCGUGCCUAAUACAUGCAAGUCGAGCGAACAGACGAGGAGCUUGCUCCUCUGACGUUAGCGGCGGACGGGUGAGUAACACGUGGAUAACCUACCUAUAAGACUGGGAUAACUUCGGGAAACCGGAGCUAAUACCGGAUAAUAUAUUGAACCGCAUGGUUCAAUAGUGAAAGACGGUUUUGCUGUCACUUAUAGAUGGAUCCGCGCCGCAUUAGCUAGUUGGUAAGGUAACGGCCUACCAAGGCAACGAUGCGUAGCCGACCUGAGAGAGUGAUCGGCCACACUGGACCUGAGGCACGGUCCAGACUCCUACGGGAGGCAGCAGUAGGGAGUCUUCCGCAAUGGGCGAAAGCCUGACGGAGCAACGCCGCGUGAGUGAUGAAGGUCUUCGGAUCGUAAAACUCUGUUAUUAAGGGAGAACGAAUGUGUAAGUACCUAUGCACGUCUUGACGGUGCCUAAUCAGAAAGCCACGGCUAACUACGUG